rnacentral:piRNA from 1 species
UGUGACUCACCAUCUCUCCAAUGUCUA